rnacentral:lncRNA from 1 species
AUUCUGAGGGGCGCGUGUUCUCGUUAGCAGAAAACUCAGGAAGACAGAUUAUUCAGGACCCGCCUGCCCUCCCCCGGAUUUUCUUUAAUAGUGAAAUGACAAAUAACGGAUGGGCACAGUAUGGAGAGGAAGGGACAGAGUCAAGAGACACUUCAUUCACUCAUUCAUUCAGUCAGUCAACAGACCGUGCUGAGUAUCUUCUUUCUUCCAGGGGGUGUCCAUCUCUGGGGAGCUGUCCUGGGCAUCGGUGUCCUCCUGCCUCAACUGUGGAUUGCUUUUAAGGAGAGGAAGAACAGUGAAGGGGCGUGUGGACAGCGUGCCGCCCUUGCUCGUACAGGCACAGACCAUCCCUGGAGCCCGGGUGUCAAGGUCGGGGAGAAGCAGGAG